rnacentral:misc_RNA from 1 species
UGGAUCUUCUAGCCCAAAGGUC